ACUACAUGUACAGGAUAGGUGGGAGGCUUUGGAACCAGGAAGCCAGUUUUGGCGGAGCCAUCCUUGGGAUACCACCCUUGGAGUACUGGGACUCUAACCAUAGGCCAUGAAUCUGGUCUUGGGACACGGUCAGGUGGGCAGUUUGACUGGGGCGGUCGCCUCCCAAAAGGUAACGGAGGCGCUCAAAGGUUCUCUCAGUACGGUCGGAAAUCGUACGUAGAGUGUAAAGGCAAAAGAGAGCUUGAUUGCAAGACAUACAGG
rnacentral:rRNA from 1 species